rnacentral:rRNA from 1 species
AACGAACGCUGGCGGCAGGCCUAACACAUGCAAGUCGAACGCUCCGCAAGGGGAGUGGCGCACGGGUGAGUAACACGUGGGAACCUACCUUCUGGUACGGAACAACCAAGGGAAACUUUGGUCUAAAACCGUAAUACGACCUCCGGGUGAAAGAUUGAUCGCCGGAAGAGGGGCCCGCGUCCGAUUAGGUAGUUGGUGAGGUAACGGCUCACCAAGCCUACGAUCGGUAGCUGGUCUGAGAGGAUGGCCAGCCACACUGGGACUGAGACACGGCCCAGACUCCUACGGGAGGCAGCAGUGGGGAAUAUUGGACAAUGGGCGCAAGCCUGAUCCAGCCAUGCCGCGUGAGUGAUGAAGGCCUUCGGUUG